rnacentral:rRNA from 1 species
GUAACCUGCGGAAGGAUCAUUA